rnacentral:rRNA from 1 species
GAUGAACGCUAGCGGCAGGCUUAAUACAUGCAAGUCGUGGGGCAGCAUGAGUAGCAAUACUUGAUGGCGACCGGCAAACGGGUGAGGAACACGUACACAACCUUCCUUCAAGCGGGGAAUAGCCCAGAGAAAUUUGGAUUAAUACCCCAUAAUAUAUUUGAUAAGGCAUCUUAUUAAUAUUAAAGCUUCGGCACUUGAUGAUGGGUGUGCGGCUGAUUAGAUAGUUGGCCGGGGUAAACGGGCCCACCAAAGUCUACGAUCAGUAGCUGAUGUGAGAGCAUGAUCAGCCACACGGGCACUGAGACACGGGCCCGACUCCUACGGGAGGC